rnacentral:lncRNA from 1 species
CUGCUCACAGGCAGGCGGCUUCUCAGCGGCAGGCGGCAGCCCCUGGUGGAAUCAGAAGAUGGAGGGAGACGUUAAGCGAAAGGCCCUUGUUUAAUAGAGAUGUUUUCUCUUUAACCACAGCUAAGAGGAAAUGGGGUAAAGCCUACAGCAUGGGGAAGAAGAUGUGAUUCAACUGUGUCUCUCCCUCCAUUUUGCCUGUGAUUUUGUUUCCUCUUAGGCUCCAGUGUGUGGCCCUAGACCCUAUCUCAAACCAAAGGUGUCUUCCUUGGAGAGCUGUUCACCUGAGAUCAGCUGAGCACCGAGUUCUCCAUUGCCAUGUCCCUUAAGAUGGGGAGUCAGCCUAGGAAUGAACAGAGAAGUGGAACUCAGGAUACAAAGAACAGUCACAACCGGAAGACAAGGCAAAACCUAGGCUCCUUUGAACGCCCUCGGCUCUGCAGUGUCCUGGUCUUCUGGUUUCCAGACUCACAUCUUGGCUCAGGGGGAUUGACAGCUAUCCCACAUGCUGUUUCUGGUCUGUUUAAUCAAACUUUCAUUUGAUGUUGGUUGGAAUUUCACAUGUGGACCAAAUACAAAGAAAUUAAGUGAUUCCAGCAGCUUGAAUCUAAGGGAAGUAUUAAUCUUUGAUAUCAAAUAAUCUGUUUCCAGGGGCACUGGGUAAAAGCUGGUUCAUUUGUUCAUUCAUUACUUCAUUCCCCCCUCACCCCCAUGUGGCAAGCAAUUACUAAGGACUGCCCUGCUCAAAACUUUUCAUAGGUAUUGUGAGGGUCAUUAAGGGAAGUGCAGAGCAGCUUAAGAUCUAAUGAGGAAAAGAGAUGAUGAGCUAGCCCACCUUGCAAGACAGAAGUUGGCAUACUGCAGAAACUCUCACUUCUGGGCUAUGAAAUGAUUCUGGCAUAGAGAAGAGGGAACAACAUGUGGUAUAAUCUAAGAAAGUGUACCACGAUAGAGGAAGAGAAAAAUGGUAUUUUAUUG